rnacentral:tRNA from 1 species
GGACUGGUAGCUCAGCUUGGUAGAGCACUUGGCUUUUAACCAAGGGGUCGCGGGUUCAAAUCCCGUCCGGUCCA